rnacentral:rRNA from 1 species
UACAGAGGGUGCGAGCGUUGUCCGGAAUCACUGGGCGUAAAGGGCGCGUAGGUGGCGGGCCAAGUCCAUGGUGAAAGCUCGAUGCUCAACAUCGAGUCGGCCACGGAUACUGGUGCGCUGGAGCACUGUAGAGGCUAAUGGAAUUCCGGGUGUAGCGGUGGAAUGCGUAGAGAUCCGGAAGAACACCGGUGGCGAAGGCGGGAUCCUGGGCCAGUACUGACGCUGAGGAGCGAAAGCGGUGGGGAGCAAACAGG